rnacentral:lncRNA from 1 species
GUUCUCCCUUUGCAGACUUUGUGGAGUGGCUGCUGCAGCUUUGCAUCUCCUCGCUCACCCCCUGGGCCAACUACCAGAGGAAGAAGACGGCUCUGCUCCUGCUGACGGCCAUUCUGGAGACCUGCACAGACACCUGGAGCCCUGAGAGGAAGAAAGGACAGCCCCCGCGGACGAUGGCCACGCUGUUGGGCCACGCCAGGCAGAGCGGCUGCUGGGACUUCUUUUCCCGGCCCAACCUGCUGGCACUGUUGGGCUGCCUGCAGGACAGCACUAACGAGGUGGGUGCCGCCCGCCACCUUACACACCCCACGCACGUCCCCAUCCUCACCUCUCCUCCUCCGGCAGAUCAGGGACACGGCCUCAGAGCUGCUCGUCCGCUACUUCCCUGCAGCGUUCCCUGAGACCCUCACCCCAGCACUGCUCCGCUUGGCCCAGGAUGCCCUCAGCAGCCCCCGCGUGCAGGAGGCCGAAGCCGGAGCGGUGCUUAUGAAGACAGUCCUGCACAAGUCAGACAGCAGCACCCUGAAGCUCCUGGCCCUGGAAGCCAAAACAGCCCAGACACUGACAAACCGCAGCCUGUACUUCGCCCAGCACCUGCUGCGGGUACUGCAGGCCCAGCUUGCCACAGC